GACAGAGGGUGCAAACGUUGUUCGGAAUUACUGGGCGUAAAGCGUGCGCAGGCGGUUUUGUAAGUCUGUCGUGAAAUCCCCGGGCUCAACCUGGGAAUUGCGAUGGAGACUGCAAGGCUAGAAUCUGGCAGAGGGGGGUAGAAUUCCACGUGUGAGCAGUGAAAUGCGUAGAGAUAGUGGGAGGAACACCGAUGGCGAAGGCAGCCCCCUGGGUCAAGAUUGACGCUCCAUGCACGAAAGCGUGGGAGCAAACGAGGAUAGAA
rnacentral:rRNA from 1 species